rnacentral:rRNA from 1 species
GACGAACGCUGGCGGCGUGCCUAAUACAUGCAAGUCGAACGCAGUGGGGACGGGUGAGUAACACGUGGGUAACCUCCCAUCAGAGGGGAUAACACUUGGAAACAGGUGCUAAACCGAUACUGAUGGAUGGACCCGCGGUGCAUUAGCUAGUUGGUGAGGUAACGGCUCACCAAGGCCACGAUGCAUAGCGGGUCUGAGAGGAUGACUGGCCACACUGGGACUGAGACACGGCCCAGACUCCUACGGGAGGCAGAAGUGGGGAAUAUUCGGCAAUGGGCGAAAGUCUGACCUAGCAACGCCGCGUGAGUGAAGAAGGUUUUCGGGUCGUAAAGUUCUGUUGGUAGAGAAGCGGUAUCUAACGAGAAAGCAACGGCUAACUACGUGCCAGCAGCCGCGGUAAUUC